AGAGUUUGAGUCCUGGCCAGGAUGAACGCUGACAGAAUGCUUACACAUAGCAAGUCGAUGGGGAAGUGGUGCUUGCACCAUGGUACCAUGGCGACGGGUGAGUAACGCUAAGGGACUUACCCGCGGGACCGGGAUAACAGCAGGAAACUGCUGACAAGACCGGAUAAAGGUCAUGGAGCCGCAUGGUUACAUGAUGAAAGGAGACGCCUGCGGAGAGCCUUGCGUCCUAUUAGCUAGUUGGGGGGUAACGGCCCACCAAGGCGAAGAUAGGUAGCCGGCCUGAGAGGGUGGACGGCCACAAGGGGACUGAGAUACGGCCCUUACUCCUACGGGAGGCAGCAGUGGGGAAUAUUGGACAAUGGGGGCAACCCUGAUCCAGCAAUUCUGUGUGCACGAAGACGGUUUUCGGAUUGUAAAGUGCUUUCAGCAGGGAAGAAGUAAGUGACGGUACCUGCAGAAGAAGCGACGGCUAAAUACGUG
rnacentral:rRNA from 1 species